rnacentral:rRNA from 1 species
GGAAAGUCGCACGGUACAGGGUGAUAGUCCCGUACACAAAAAUGCAUAUGUUGUGAGUUCGAUGAGUAGGGCGGGACACGUGACAUCCUGUCUGAAUAUGGGGGGACCAUCCUCCAAGGCUAAAUACUCCUGACUGACCGAUAGUGAACCAGUACCGUGAGGGAAAGGCGAAAAGAACCCCGGCGAGGGGAGUGAAAUAGAACCUGAAACCGUGUACGUACAAGCAGUGGGAGCACCUUCGUGGUGUGACUGCGUACCUUUUGUAUAAUGGGUCAGCGACUUAUAUUUUGUAGCAAGGUUAACCGAAUAGGGGAGCCGUAGGGAAACCGAGUCUUAACUGGGCGAAUAGUUGCAAGGUAUAGACCCGAAACCCGGUGAUCUAGCCAUGGGCAGGUUGAAGGUUGGGUAACACUAACUGGAGGACCGAACCGACUAAUGUUGAAAAAUUAGCGGAUGACUUGUGGCUGGGGGUGAAAGGCCAAUCAAACCGGGAGAUAGCUGGUUCUCCCCGAAAGCUAUUUAGGUAGCGCCUCGUGAACUCAUCUUCGGGGGUAGAGCACUGUUUCGGCUAGGGGGUCAUCCCGACUUACCAAACCGAUGCAAACUCCGAAUACCGAAGAAUGUUAUCACGGGAGACACACGGCGGGUGCUAACGUCCGUCGUGAAGAGGGAAACAACCCAGACCGCCAGCUAAGGUCCCAAAGUCAUGGUUAAGUGGGAAACGAUGUGGGAAGGCAUAGACAGCCAGGAUGUUGGCUUAGAAGCAGCCAUCAUUUAAAGAAAGCGUAAUAGCUCACUGGUCGAGUCGGCCUGCGCGGAAGAUGUAACGGGGCUAAACCAUGCACCGAAGCUGCGGCAGCGACACUUAGGUGUUGUUGGGUAGGGGAGCGUUCUGUAAGCCGUUGAAGGUGACCUGUGAGGGUUGCUGGAGGUAUCAGAAGUGCGAAUGCUGACAUAAGUAACGAUAAUGCGGGUGAAAAACCCGCACGCCGGAAGACCAAGGGUUCCUGUCCAACGUUAAUCGGGGCAGGGUGAGUCGACCCCUAAGGCGAGGCUGAAAAGCGUAGUCGAUGGGAAACAGGUUAAUAUUCCUGUACUUGGUGUUACUGCGAAGGGGGGACGGAGAAGGCUAGGCUAGCCGGGCGACGGUUGUCCCGGUUUAAGCAUGUAGGCGGAGUGACUUGGUAAAUCCGGUUGCUUAUCAACGCUGAGGUGUGAUGACGAGUCACUACGGUGAUGAAGUAGUUGAUGCCAAGCUUCCAGGAAAAGCCUCUAAGCAUCAGGUAACAUUAAAUCGUACCCCAAACCGACACAGGUGGUCAGGUAGAGAAUACUCAGGCGCUUGAGAGAACUCGGGUGAAGGAACUAGGCAAAAUGGUGCCGUAACUUCGGGAGAAG